rnacentral:rRNA from 1 species
GACGAACGCUGGCGGCGUGCUUAACACAUGCAAGUUGAACGGAGGCAUAUCAUCACGACUUUUCGGAGGAGAGAUGAUGUGUUCUUAGUAGCGGACGGGUGAGUAAUGCAUGAGAACCUGUCCUUCAGAGGGGGACAACAGUUGGAAACGGCUGCUAAUACCCCAUAUGCCGAGAGGUGAAAGGAGUAAUCCGCUGAGGGAGGGGCUCAUGUCCUAUCAGUUAGUUGGUGAGGUAAAGGCUUACCAAGGCGAUGACGGGUAGCCGGCCUGAGAGGGUGACCGGCCACAUUGGAACUGAGAUACGGUCCAGACUCCUACGGGAGGCAGCAGUGGGGAAUAUUGGGCAAUGGGCGCAAGCCUGACCCAGCGACGCCGCGUGAGGGAAGAAGGCCUUUGGGUCGUAAACCUCUGUUGUAUGGGAAGAAGGAAGUGACGGUACCAUACGAGGAAGUCCCGGCUAACUACGUGCCAGCAGCCGCGGUAAUACGUAGGGGACGAGCGUUGUCCGGAAUUACUGGGCGUAAAGGGCGCGCAGGCGGAUAUUUAAGUCAGCUGUAAAAGGCAUGAGCUCAACUCAUGUAUGCGGUUGAAACUGGGUAUCUAGAGUGCUGGAGAGGUAGGCGGAAUUCCCGGUGUAGCGGUGAAAUGCGUAGAUAUCGGGAAGAACACCAGUGGCGAAGGCGGCUUACUGGCCAGCAACUGACGCUGAGGCGCGAAAGCCAGGGGAGCGAACG